CAAGACUCCUACGGGAGGCAGCAGUCGGGAAUAUUGCGCAAUGGAGGAAACUCUGACGCAGUGACGCCGCGUAUAGGACGAAGGUCUUCGGAUUGUAAACUAUUGUCGUUAGGGAAGAGAAAGGACAGUACCUAAGGAGGAAGUUCCGGCUAACUACGUGCCAGCAGCCGCGGUAAUACGUAGGGGGCAAGCGUUAUCCGGAUUUACUGGGUGUAAAGGGAGCGUAGGCGGCAAGGUAAGCCAGAAGUGAAAGCCCGCGGCUCAACUGCGGGACUGCUUUUGAAACUAUCUAGCUAGAUUGCAGGAGAGAUAAGUGGAAUUCCUAGUGUAGCGGUGAAAUGCGUAGAUAUUAGGAGGAACACCAGUGGCGAAGGCGGCUUACUGGACUGUAAAUGACGCUGAGGCUCGAAAGCGUGGGGAGCAAACAGGAUUAGAUACCCUUGUA
rnacentral:rRNA from 1 species